AAACUGUUGACUGGUACUGUAUGCUCAGGGCUAGUGUGUCUUUGUUUUUGCAUUAUUUAAACAUGUUUCAUUAUUUGAGACUAAAUUGAUUUUUAUUGAUGUAUUAUAUUAGGUUAAAAUAAGUGUUAAUUUGGUAUUGUUGUAAUUGUCAUCACUACAAAUAAAUAAAACAAAAUCGGCCGAUUAAAUCGGUAUCAGCUUUUUUGGUCCUCCAAUAAAUCGGUAUUGGCGUUGAAAAAUCACAAUCGGCCGACCUAUACUAUCAGCCGACCUAUACUACUACCUGGUCAAAAGUGCCCUAUAUAGAGAAUAGGGUGCUUUUAGGGAUGCAACCCACACUGUUCUGAGGGAUAAACUGAAAAAUACAGCUACGCUUCACACAAACAUCUCUGUCCUAUUUAAAGCAUGAUGGUGACACAUAUAUACAGAGGGUUAUGGAGCUGGUUGAGUAAGUUAACAAUAAAGAGUAGUACUAUAUAUGGAUGAAACGGUUACCGGUUUCACGAUAAACCACAGUAAAAUUCCUGACGAUUAGUAUUGCCUUUUCAAUUAUCAUUAAAACCGUGUUUGAUUACCGCGGUUUGAAAAACUCACGGUAAAUACUGUCCAGCAUCAACCAAAGUUAGCAACAGUCUGACGUAGGCGCAGCACGCAACGUGGCGUCAUGUGAAACAUGGCGUAAGGCAGUGACAGCACUCGGGAGAUGUUUCUGCCUUCUAAGAGGACCAAAUCUGAAGGGUGGUCAUAUGUUGGGUUUUACGAAAGUGCUUAGGGAAACUUAAAAAUCGAAGAUGGUCACCCUGUCUGCAGAACACGCAACAACAACAAAAAAUGCCGCGAAAGGGGGCAACACUUCAAAUCUCUUGAGUCAUCUUCGUGACCACCACCAACUACUUUAUAGGGAAUGCUAGAGUGGGCGUGCAAGCAGGCAAACCCAGUGAUGCUACUGGUCCCUCAUCUACAGUUGUAACACAGACACUCGAGCAAGCAUUUUUUUUUAAAAGGCAGGCUGCGGAUGCACCCACAUCAAAAACAAAUGCUCAAGACCUCACUACAGCCUUUUCAUACUACAUUGCAAAGGAGAUGAUGCCAUUUCAAAAAUUGUUGAGAGGCCUGGCUUUGAGGCUGAUGAAGGUUGCCGUGCCUCACUACAAAGUGAGUGCUACUAAUUUUAUUUUUGGUUUCUUUAUUUGGAUUUGCUUACUUCAGGUUGUGUUCGAUUAAACCUGCACUGGGGAAACUUACCUCUCAUGGCCACAUAGUGUCAUCUUUAAUGUUAUUAGUUUAAUGUUUAUGGACACAAAGUGCAUUGUGCUGCUAAUUUUAUUUGUUGUUUGUUGGUUUUCAAAAUAAAACUUGGUGAAAUUA